CUGGUUUGCCAAUCUCUCCUGAGUCCCUUCAGGAAAAUGACUACUUACCACAAAUGAAGAGUGACCUCUUCCAUGUGGUUUCAUCUUUAUAGGAGAGAAAGUUUCCACAUACACUGACUCAAGCAUCGAAAGCCUCCUGGGCAGCAUGACAGGUGUCAAUGGCCUUUGGAGUCAUUCAUGCCUAAGCAGCUACAGUCUGAGCACAUUUUACAGAAGACAAAAGGAGUCAUUACCUGGAGCUUCUCAUUUAAUGACUUCAUACCUUCUGGGGACAGGAGAUAAAUGAAGAGUUCCACUUCAUACACUUAAGAGCAUAUUUGGAAGUAAUUAGUAGCACAUGUUCUAACACACGUAUUACCUCCUCCUGUACUUUCCAAGUCAUUUCAGGAGCAACUAAGAAAAUAUAGCAUUUCAGUUC